AGCGAACGCUGGCGGCAGGCCUAACACAUGCAAGUCGAGCGCUCGUAGCAAUACGAGAGCGGCAGACGGGAGAGUAACACGUGGGAACGUACCCUUUGGUUCGGAACAACACAGGGAAACUUGUGCUAAUACCGAAUAAGCCCUUACGGGGAAAGAUUUAUCGCCGAAGGAUCGGCCCGCGUCUGAUUAGCUAGUUGGUGGGGUAAUGGCUCACCAAGGCGACGAUCAGUAGCNGGUCUGAGAGGAUGACCAGCCUCAUUGGGACUGAGACACGGCCCAAACUCCUACGGGAGGCAGCAGUGGGGAAUAUUGGACAAUGGGCGCAAGCCUGAUCCAGCCAUGCCGCGUGGAUGAUGAAGGCCUUAGGGUUGUAAAGUCCUUUUAACGGGAAGAUAAUGACGGUACCCGUAGAAUAAGCCCCGGACUAACUUCGUGCCAGCCGCCGCGGUAAU
rnacentral:rRNA from 1 species